rnacentral:rRNA from 1 species
UACGAAGGGGGCUAGCGUUGUUCGGAAUUACUGGGCGUAAAGCGCACGUAGGCGGGUUGUUAAGUCAGGGGUGAAAUCCUGGAGCUCAACUCCAGAACUGCCUUCGAUACUGGCGACCUUGAGUCCGGGAGAGGUGAGUGGAACUCCGAGUGUAGAGGUGAAAUUCGUAGAUAUUCGGAAGAACACCAGUGGCGAAGGCGGCUCACUGGCCCGGUACUGACGCUGAGGUGCGAAAGCGUGGGGAGCAAACAGG